rnacentral:rRNA from 1 species
UACGAAGGGGGCUAGCGUUGCUCGGAAUUACUGGGCGUAAAGGGCGCGUAGGCGGAUGUUUAAGUCAGAGGUGAAAGCCCAGGGCUCAACCUUGGAACUGCCUUUGAUACUGGGCAUCUUGAGUAUGGGAGAGGUGAGUGGAACUCCGAGUGUAGAGGUGAAAUUCGUAGAUAUUCGGAAGAACACCAGUGGCGAAGGCGACUCACUGGCCCAUUACUGACGCUGAGGCGCGAAGGCGUGGGGAGCAAACAGG